UGUUGUGGGCUUCCCCGUGAGAUCGGCUGGGCUAGUCACACUCUGGCUGUGCAUCUCAAGGACAGCAGGUGCCGAGACCGGUCCUGGAGAGGCAGAGAUGACCAAGACGCCAGGGGACAAACUGAUAAACCGGGACCGUCAGUUCCAUGUGGCAGGGUAGAGGCGGAGGAGGACGCAAUCCAGCGUGACCUCGUCUGAUUACGUCUGCGAAGACCCUUUUGCAAACCAGGGCAUAGUCACAGGUACCAGGUGUUCACAAUUUGCGAAUGCACUUGCACAGCGAUAAAUCCCUGCAUACUCGAAGUCAUGAUCUGCUCAGCAGGUGAAGGCAGAACGCUCAGAGGCCUCUAAUAAUCAGCCCUUUGCAACAAGCACUUUUUCUUCCUGCUCGUUAUUGCAGCGAAGGGAGCAGCUUUCGCUCCUCUCAUUCGGUUACAGCAGACUCGGAAACGCACUGGGGACCGCUGCUCUGUCACCAGCAAAGACAAUGGCAUACAUAAAAAAUGUCUUAUUUCCCCUUGCUCUACCGAGCAAAAGCAUCGGAACCUCCCGGGAAUUCACUUUACAAGGAAAGAAAACGAGGACCGGCGUCUGCAGCGGGCUCGGGCUCGGGCUCGCGCCGCCCAGAGCGUCCCUUCCUCUGGCUCCUGCGCAGCAGGACUGUGCGUACCCCUGCGGGGGCGGACCAGGCAGGGUGCGCACCAGGCAGGGUGCGCACCAGGCAGGGUGCGCUCCAGACUGUGGCCUUCUCACCGACGCUCACAAACGCAGUCGUUCUGCGCGAAGGCCCCUUCCCCUUUCCGCUUGCUAGGCGCCUCCCCCACCCGUGAGUCUGGACUCCCGCCGAGAGUUCUCGAAGACUUCUUUCCUUGUCUCUUAAGGCCCUGCGGUAAGAAGUUCCGCGUCGGGGACCCUCACUAGUGCUUAAGGGACCCACCUUUCCGCGGUCUCCUGCAUUAUGUUCCCUAGGAAAUGUUCAUAUCCUUAUGCUUGAAAAAUCCCUCUUGCAAAAAACAAUAAUAAAAAUCACCAAAUACUGCAGCCGGCAGGGAUUCGGAGAUGGAGAUCUGGGUGUCCGCCCCGGAACUCAGUGCUCAGCCAGCAGGAGGGUCCUGAACACUGCCCAGGAAGCCAGGUGUCAGGAGCCCAGGCCCAGCCCACGGCUGCCAGGUGAGGACCUGUGGGUCCAUUUGGGAGAAAGGCGGGUCUGAACCAGCGGAAGGUUUGAAUUAAAGCGUAAUAAAAUACAGCUGUUUAAAAUGA